UACGUAGGGGGGCAAGCGUUGUCCGGAUUUAUUGGGCGUAAAGAGCGUGUAGGCGGCCUGACAGGUCUGCUGUGAAAACUCGAGGCUCAACCUCGAGAUGUCGGCGGAAACCGUCUGGCUAGAGUCCGGAAGAGGAGAGUGGAAUUCCUGGUGUAGCGGUGAAAUGCGCAGAUAUCAGGAAGAACACCUAUGGCGAAGGCAGCUCUCUGGGGACGGUACUGACGCUGAGACGCGAAAGCGUGGGGAGCGAACAGG
rnacentral:rRNA from 1 species